UACGUAGGGUGCGAGCGUUGUCCGGAAUUACUGGGCGUAAAGAGCUCGUAGGUGGUUUGUCGCGUUGUUCGUGAAAACUCACAGCUCAACUGUGGGCGUGCGGGCGAUACGGGCAGACUAGAGUACUGCAGGGGAGACUGGAAUUCCUGGUGUAGCGGUGGAAUGCGCAGAUAUCAGGAGGAACACCGAUGGCGAAGGCAGAUCUCUGGGCCGUAACUGACGCUGAGGAGCGAAAGCAUGGGGAGCGAACAGC
rnacentral:rRNA from 1 species